UACGUAGGCGGUCCAAUAAGUCAGUGGUGAAAUCCUGCAGCUUAACUGUAGAACUGCCAUUGAUACUGCUGGACUUGAAUAUAGAUGAGGUAGGCGGAAUGUGUCGUGUAGCGGUGAAAUGCUUAGAUAUAACACAGAACACCAAUUGCGAAGGCAGCUUACUAGACUAUUAUUGACGCUGAGGUACGAAAGCGUGGGGAGCGAACAGGAUUAGAUACCCUGGUAGUCC
rnacentral:rRNA from 1 species